ACAAUGUGGAAGGAAAUCUUUUCAGAGAACGGGCGAGGGUAAGGACAAUCGAGCUGGGGGGCAGUAAUGAGAAAGGCAAAGAAGGAGAAAAAAAAAAAAAAUCCAGACGGAAAAGUGAGGCCAUGGAAGGGUAAGAAAUAUACUUUAAACGAAAAGACGAAGAAAGCAAAAUGCGUCCGGAAAUCAAAAUUCAAUAUAGGGGGGAAAAUCAGGCUAAAGGGAACUUGUUCCUGAAAGUGCCAAGAAAGAGAGAAAAAUACCACCGUUAAAAACUGGAAGAACAGAAAGUGAAGGAAGGGAGAAAGAGGAGACAAAUUAAAGCAGACAAGAAAUAUAAAGAAGACAUCGGGUUCAUUCAGACUGUAUUGUCAGAAAAGGAGCCAAGGUUUGAGGGGUGGAAACCUUGUCAUUUUCACCUUUAAAUCAUCUCCUCGCGUCACCUCUGCCUGAUGAGACCUUUGAAGUGAUCCUGAUGAGAAUCAGUUUACAGUUAAUGAUGGACCAUCCCCAGUCCCGUGCAUUCGGGGCAGAGUAAGGCAGCAAAAUGUAGGAGCAGGGCUGCUAUACGGUGCUGUAAGUAGCAGUAGUCUGUUUCAAUACAUCCCUCCUCUGUGAAGUAUCACAUGUCUUAAAGUGACAUUACCCUCUAUUACAGCUACAGUGAAUUGUAAUGCCUGCCCACUAACUCUUCAGCUACUCAAGCAGCACUUUAACACUAUACUGUCUGGCAUGUUAUGUUAGAGCUUUCACUGAUACCGUUCAUUUGCCAAAAGAGUAAAGAGGGAAGGAGAAACAAAAGAAAAAAACAUUCUGCAAAAUAUUAAUAGUGUUAAUGGGUGUUAGGCUUCUUAACAGUAAAUGCAAAAGUGAACUACAGGCCAUUUCUUACCUCUUCAUGUUCUUUGACCCAGUACGUUAACCAAAAAUAUUGUCAGGUUUAUACAAAUUUAAGUCUGUCGAUUGUUUUGGCAGCUAAAUCUGGGAAUAUGGCAUGCUUGGAAUACAAUAUAGAUGCUUAUAUGCAUAAGCCCAAUAAAAACCUUCUGAGGUUUUUGAACAUGUUUAAUAAAUAGAAACAUGUCAUUUUCAGCAUCGAAGAUUGGGUUUUGACAAAGAAAUAUGCUCAAAGCAUUUUUUAAAAAAUCUCCCUCUCCCUCCAAUAACAUGCUGGGGGGGAGAGGAAACCCUCAGAAACUGAACAUUUUGUUUCUAGUACUAUGGUUCGGACAGUCUCUUCUUCGGAAAUAAAGUGAUUGUAUCCAAACGUUAACGAUGCACGUAAGGUGACCUAGUUUUCACUUAUAGACUGCAUGAGCAGAAAUUCUCAUUCAGUUAUUUCAUGAAUUGCUUAUAAAGCACCUACUAUGUGCUAGAUGCUUGGGGACAAGGCAGAGAACAAGGUCGAUGUGAUCCCCACUGUCAUAGGUCUAGUCUUUCAUAAUUUUUUCAAAAUCAAGGUGGUUCUCAUGAUUUUCCCCCCUCACAAACCUUUUGAAAUGCCUCAGAAUACCCCUGCCUUGCACAGGUGUUAUAAAGAAGGGUCGAAGGGGCCCCUGGGUGUCUCAGUGGGUUGAGCCUCUGGCUCUUGGGGUAGGCUCAGGUAAUGAUCUCAUGGGUGGUGGGAUCCAGCCCCAUGUCAGACUCCACACUCAGAGGAGAGUCUGCUUUAAGAUUCAAAAUAAAUAAAUCUUUUUUUCAAAGAUUUGAAAAAUAAAUAAAUCUUAAAAAAAAAAAAAGAAAGAACGGUGAUGCCACUGUGCGACUUUGGAAACCAUCACCUUUUCUCAUGUUAAACAGAGUGAAAGAGUGAGAGCCCCUACAGAUGGGUCGGUCUUCCCCACUGGUCUUUCACAGUGCACAGUGCACAGGUAACAACACCAAAGUUAUAGUAGGUAGUGCAUGUUUCAUUUCUGUGGUUCGUUAUUGUUGUGUUGGUGAUACGUACAGACUGUGCGGUAUCAAGACACAAAUAACAGCAGUGCGGCAGCUAAUGUUCAUUAAAUCUUUCCUAUGAGUAGCGCUACUCUAUAGUAUGUUGCUUAUAAGGUAUGAUUUAAUCCUUUUUACUAACCCCAUAAGAUAAGUAUUAUUAUUCUUAUCUCCAUUUCAUGGAUGAGGAACCCCAGGGGGAACAGGGAGAUUAAGAAACUUGCUCAAGGUAAUAUAGCUUGUAAGUGAUAGAGUAGGUUUCAAACUCCAAUGAUCUGGUGCAAGAGCCCAUGUCUUAGACACUCAUAUAAAAUACUACAUGGUUGGGCUGACUGGGUGGCUCAGUCGGUUAAGCAUCUGCCUUUGGCUCAGGUCAUAAUCCCAGUGUCCUGGGAUCGAGCCCUGCAUCAGGCUCCCUGCUCAGCAGGGAGUCUGCUUCUCCCUCUCCCUCUGCACCUCCCCCCUGCUCAUGCUCUCUCUCUCUCUCUCUCACACACACUCCCUCUCUCUCAAAGAAAUAAAUACAAUCUUAAAAAAAUACUUCAUGGUUAAAAUAACCCCCCCAAAAAAACCAUUACAUUUUCUCAUUUCUUUACCAUUAAGAGAGUCUCAAAAAAGUAUUAUUCGUUCAUUCAAGAAGUAUAUAUUGAGUACAUUCCAGGCUUUUGAAAUAUAGAAGUGUGGAAGAUAGUCUUUGCCCCAUGAAUUUUUUUGGGGGGGUUGUUUUUGCUAUGCUAAUAUAUUCAAAUUAAAAGGAAGUUACUAAUAAGGGCUACCAUUUUGAAAAACUCACCAUUAUGUUCUUCCUUUCUAGGGAUUAAAUUAAAGCUAAACAUAGUUAUUUAUCUACAAAUUAAUUCAAUUUAAUGAACUUGAAAGAUGUAUUAAAGGAUUAUGUUCAAGGCACUCAGAUAAGCAUUAUUAAUUUUUUUUAAAAAACUGGAAGAAAGACUUGCUCUUUUAGGCUUAAGUGACUGUCUAUAUAUGUAUGUGAUGGAACAAGAAUAUCAACAUAGUUCCUCGUUUUUCUUCCAAAUCCCUUGUAGUCCAUUGUACUGCAGCCAAUGACCAUUUGUCCUAAAUAAUAUAAGCAUCAACAAAUAUUGGCAUGUAAGGCAACUUAGUUUAUUUAGUCUAUCCCAACUAUUUUGUGAUAACAAACUACUAUCACACCUUUCAAAGAAGUUGGCCUUUCCACCAUCUGGCCGUAGUAGGAUUGUGUCUCCUGAUUCCUUUAUCAUUGAGUGGGCCACAAAGUUCUGGCCAGUGAAAUAUCAGCAGAAUUGAUGGUGUCUUUUUGAGGCUGGAACAUUUAAUUGUUGAAGCAACACCCUCCUUUGUCUCCAGAACAGGGACUAGUCACACUAUCAGCCUGGAUCCUUGAAUGAUCACAAAGAAAACAGGCCCUCCCUUUUCCCUACCAGCCCAUAAUGGAUAUACACAGUAAAUAAGAAAUAAUUUGUUCUUCAAGCAAUUGAGAUUUGGGAGCUAUUUGUUAUUGCAGCAUAACCUAGUCUACUCUGACUGAUGAAGAUUUUAACUUACAUUAUCCAAGUAUUAAUUAAAUGUUUAUGUUCUAUACACUGCCCUAAGCUCUGAGGAGACAGCAGUAUGCACAUCAAACCAAGUUCCUGCUUUUUCAGAGCCCCUUGUAAUGGAAAUCUAUUGGAGAUUUUUUUAAUCAGAGCAAUGAUAAACCCAAAGCAUUGAUUAUUGCUGCUGGAAUGCCUUUGGACUCUUAUAAACCAGGAGUUAUAGACUGAUCACCCAUGUGGCCUAUGGCUAUGUCCUGCUCAGCCAUUUUGUCAUGCAGGCACAAUAUUUCAAAAGGCAUUAUUCCAGCACUAUUGUUUUAGCCCAUCCAGUUUCAUUAAUUCAAGAUACCUAGGCAGUUGGGUAUUCGAACCAUGAUUCAAGCCAAACUCCUAAAGAUACACACUUCAAACACAGUAUCUGUGUAUAUGCACAUUUGUUUAUGUGAGAAAGAGAAAAUUCUAUUCAUUAGAACUCUGCCCUAUGGAGAAACCCACAUUUAUUCCUAAGAAAAGCCCAGUGAAAAUAACUGGGGGUAAAAGCCAAAACACUCAGAAUGCUCAAAUAGCCAAGAAUAUUCAGCAAAUAAUCCUGCAUAAUAAAAAAAUGAGAUAGAGAGAUAGAGGAUGUAACAAGGAGAAAACCCGGAGGGAGAAAGAAAAUGGUGGGGGGCAAAGAGACAGAGAUAGAAAUAUAUUAGAGGCUCAGGAAGAGAAGGACCAAGAACAAAUGUCAAAAGGGGAUUUCUUGGUGGAAAACUAUAUCCUAUGGAAUGUGACUCUUCCCUGCCUCUCCAAAUGAUCAUAAAAGUCUUUAAAAAAAAAAAAAAAAAAAAAAAAACCCUGACAUAUACUUUGUGUUAUUAAGUUACCUGGGAAACCCAUUGAAAGGGCUACCUUCCCCAUCCAGGCAUAAAGUACCACAAGAAAAUCCCUCAUGUUGCUGAUUAUCACAUUUCUCAUUUCUUGGCAUUAGAAAUAAAAGCUAUCUGGGGCACCUGGGUGGGUCAGUCAGUUAAGCAUCUAACUUCAGUUCAGGUUAUGAUCUGGGUUCUGGGAUUGAGCCCCAUGGAGCUCCAAGCUCAGCAGGGUGUCUGCUUCUCCCUCUCCCUCCGCCCCUCCCCCUACUCAUGCUCUCUCUCUCUUUCUAAAAUAAAAUCCCUUAAAAAAAAAAAAGCCAUCUUAUUUCAGCUUAAGACCAGUACACUUAAUAAUAAUUUGGCUAAGAGAGGGCAGAGCAAGAUGGCAGAGGAGUAGGAGACCUGGAUUUCGUCUGGUCCCAGGAAUUCAGCUGGAUAGGGAUCAAACCAUUCUGAACACCUACGAACUCAACAGGAGAUCAAAGAAAAGAAUAGCAACAACUCUCUGAACAGAAAAGCGACCACUUUCUGGAAGAAGAGAAGAAAUGAAACUGUCCUGAAUUUUCAACCCUGGUUUUCAGUAUUUGAUAUCCGAAUACCAUCUGAUGAUAAAGCUCACAGCUGAUCCCUGAAGAAUAAAGAAAAGUCUACAAAUGUUAAAAAUCAAAAGAAAGCACUGGGUGCCUGGGUGGCUCAGUUGGUUGAGCGACUGCCUUCAGCUCAGGUCGUGAUCCUGGAGUCCCGGGAUCGAGUCCUGCAUUGGGCUCCCUGCUCAGCGGGGAGCCUGCUUCUCCCUCUGACCCUCCCCCCUCUCAUGUGCUCUCUCAUUCUCUCUCUCUCAAAUAAAUAAAUAAAAUCUUUAAAAAAAAAUCAAAAGAAAGCACUUAGAAUUUCAUUAUAUUGAACCUAGAAAAGACCCUCUGCCAAAACCUCCUAGUCCAACCUCUCUGCUCUAGAGGGAAUAAAAAGACUUAAGACAGGGAAAAAGCUUACCCAAGGGAAUAGGGUGAGUUUAGUGGCCUGGGUGACAUUAGAACACAAGUGUUCUCAUUUAAUGGCUCUCUGUCUCUCUGUCUCUCUGUCUCUCUCUCUCUCAGUCAGCACUAUCCUGUAGCACUCUCUGUAAUGCUGGAAAUGUUCUCUGUGCUAGCUAAGAUGGUACCACUAUCCACAUGUAGCUAUUAAGCACUUGAAAUGUGGCCAGUACAACCAAGGCAAUGAAUUUUUCACUUAAUUUAAUUUUAAUUAAUUUCAAUUUAGGUAGACACAUAUGGCUUAUAGAUACUGUAUUGGACAGCACAAUUCAAAAAUAUGCCAGCUAG